CAGGACACUCCUGAGCCUGGGUGGACGUGCUCGGGUGCUAUAAUGGGAGCAAAAACGGAUGCAACAGGCUGAAGAGCAGUUUGGGAGCCUCAGGUGAAGAUGCUGAGACCCAGGGAGGCAGUUUCCCGGAAACAACCUAAAUGCCCAGCAGCAGACAAAGGGCAUAUUGAGAAAAACAUCAGCAACAACUCUGGCAAAGCCUUAAUAUCCUCCACGUUUAAGGAGCAUUUAUCCACCACCAGGAGACAAAUGGUUUGAAUGGCCUUUUCCUUCACUUCCAUGAGGUCCCUGGAGGCACAGGACAGACCCGCAAACAGGAAGAGCAGUGGGGCAGGCCACAGGCUGGCACCCAGCACCCAGCCCAGGCGAGUUCUAUUUAAACGAAGAAAGAAAGCACAUUCCAGAUCCUUUUGUUCAUCCAGAGACUUCAGGUAAAAAUUGAGGCAAUUAAAUUAUGCAUCCUGGCGGCUUUCUCUCACCGUCAGCACGAGUCGAGAUUUUUUUUUUUUUGAGAAGUAAAACAUGAAAUUCAAAAUGUAUCUCGAGUCACAGCACGAUGGUUUACCAGAUGAGUCAAGAGGAAGACCUCCCUCCGUUCUGUCAUCAGGGCUGCCUGAGGAGGGCACCAGCCGGUUCUCCAGCAGUCAGGUCUGACAGGCUGGCAGCCUUCAUGCCAUCCCCUCGGCCAGAGGCUCAGACGCGUGCAAGAAUCACGUGGACAAGGAGGGCCGGUACUGGUGGGCCUUGAACGCCAGGCUAAGCCAUUUGAAUUCAAUUUUGUGUCCAAUUAGUUGGCUUGCUGUCUCUCAGGAAACUGCAAGGACUUUCACAAAAUGCAGUUUGAUACGCAAAUUUAUGUUUUUACACGAAGUGGUUUGGUUGCCUACAUAUAUAUUUAUAUAUACUUAUUAUUUAAUAUUAUAUGUAUUAUUUAUAUAUAUAUAUAUAUAUUGCAUUUUAAAAAUAUCGUCCUUAUGUCCCUUAAACUGAAAGCGUAGGUUGGGACUCAAGCCAGGGAACCUUCGCAGCUCACCUGGGUUUCUCUUCCCACUCUUGUGUUUUCAGGGCAGCGUUUAUACAACUAUUUGCUGAACUGAUUAGGUGUGAAUUCCAAGCUGAUAGCUCUUCAUCACUUAGCAUUACAAAACUGUAUCAAAGCCCCAUGUAUAAACGUGUUUUUGCACUUUCCUUCAUCUUUUUUCAUACUUUCUUGCCCCAAGAAAAACUUUUUAUCACCUCCCUAAGGAAUUUAAUAGCUGUGAAUUACAAACCCAACAGCUAUCACAACUUUCUUAACAUUUACUAAGAAGCCAGAGUUGAUUGUUUUUCCUUCUGUAAAUUCAACGUCAAAUGCUUACAAAGUCGAGCACCAGUAAAUAUGGAGGCUUCAAAUGAGAAGCUUCAUCCUUAGGAACAGCCAGGAUAUAGGAGACUUUCAUUUUCAAAGUGAGUUCAUUGUGUGUGUCUACGGAGGUGUGUCCCAAAACCUCUAAAACCCACAAUGCAACAAUUAAGCUGUGCUCUCUCUCUUCCACCCUUCAAAAACACCAUUUGACUUACGACUUUGUGUCACCACUACUUGUAGAACUGAGCAAACAGGAAACACAAGCCUUGUCUUCACAUACGCUCACACAGUCUGCGGCGAGCACACCAUACAGAAAUUCAGGAUUUUAUUAGGGAAAGCUGGAGACAGGGCAGUUGCUUUGUUUUCUCAUCACAGACACGUCUGGAUUCCCAGUUCAUGUCGACUUAAAUUCCAGCCUAAUGAAGGUGUGGACAUCCGAGCCGGGCACCCAUCCUCUCAUUCAUCAGACAAACCUCCAGCCAGCACCUCUGACAGGUUUUCAGCAGUGUCUCCGAAUAAAUGUUGAAAACAACAACUUCCUAACAAGCAGUAAGCCGGUUGGGCUGACUGCAUUAAUCUAUUAGCAAUUAGAUGAUUGCCAUCUGCAGUCUGUGCUGUUGUCUGGAGUUGAAUAAAGUCAAGGCACACGUGUCGACAUGGUCAGGGAACUCCCUGCUAUUUUCAACAUGCUCCUUGAAGCCCAGCCUGAGAACUGCUGUCCUUUCCUGUAGCCUGGUAUCUGUGGACAGUGAACAGUCAACGCGUGAGCUAAUAAGCAUAUCACCAGCCUUGGGACACUCAGCAGGAUAGUGGCAGAGAUGAACUCCUUGAGCUAGGACCAAGCAAAGCGCAGCUCCCUUCCCGAUGGCUGGGCCAGAGGCAGCUGCUGUGACUCUUGGGAAAAGUUUGAACCACACCCCUGAAGAGCCCUCCACUCAGGACUGGGAAGGGCAUGCACGAGGGGCUGAAGGGGGCUCCCUGUGGCCAUGGCAGAGCCCUUGGGCAGCUGAGGCCCGCAGCCUCCCUGGCCUCAUCGCCCAUAGCCCCUCCUGUGGCUUCUGAUGGAAUCUGCAGGGGAGGGGCGCUGAGGGCGGGUGGCCCACUCCAUCGAGUUAAUGCACACAGCAGCCAGCAAAGGGCCACAUCCAUCGUGCAGGCGCAGACACCGAGCAGAGCCCCAGGAAUCAAUUACCAGGAGGCCGCAGAGGCUCACUGGGGGCUGGCUCUGGCCACAGACCAUCAUGCACCAUCCCAUUUAAUUCUCAGCAGCCAGUGAAGGGUCCAUGUGACCCUGCCUUUGAUGGUCAGCGCCUCCAGGGGUGGGAGGCUGAGCCUCUGCCCAAAGCGGCUCAGCUCACCCCGGCAGCUGGAGGUGGGCCCAGUCUCCUGAGGCUGAGGCCCAUUCCCCCUGCUCUGCUUCCUGCCUCCCCCAAAGAAGACAUCUCUGCAGGAGGCUUGCAGCCCACCUUCGAGGGCAGAGCCUGGGAGCCCGUCCUCCGGGGGACUGGAGCAGGACUCGCUCCGGGCACCCUUCCUCCUGGGCUUCUUUCCACCGUGCUAUGUUCCCGGCUCACUGAGGCCGGUGGUCCCUGUCUCUGAGUUUAUCAGUGGCCAUGUGCAAAUAUGGGCCAUGGUGACUGGGCUUACAAAGCCAAGGUGUUUAACCUGGGCUGGCAAAUCGGGAGGGAGAGGGGUAAAAGUGUCAUUCAGUAAAGAAGGCCAAAUAAGGAUGGGGGAUUUGAGCUGAUUUCCAACUGCAAAUAGGCAUCAAAUCCAGGGGCGACAUAAGGGAGAGGAGUUCCAAGACUGAGGUGGUUCUAGGGUGUGGGAUCUGUGGCCAGUGGUGUGCUACAGAAUCAACCGGGCCAACAUGUUAAGUCCCCGACAUGCCCCUAGCACACUAGUUUGGGUAUAUUCAUAGGUGCUAUUUUUAAAAAAUUAGUACAUGAUGAGUUGAACAGUUAAACUGACUUUUUAAAUUGCAGAAUGUCUUGGAGCUCUUGCAAUACUAGUGUGCACAGUCAUCUCUAAGAAAGGGGCAUUGCCUGCUCUGAUUCACAAACUUAUUAGGCCAGGAACCCUGCUUUCUGGUGUCUCCUGUGGGAUGCUUCUGGAAGAUACCGAAUGAGGUCUUAUCUCUCCACUAUGAAGCGAUGCGGUGUCAGGGGAGACUCCUCAUUGGACAGUCCCAAGUCAAAUCCUUUAUCCUCACACAACUGACUAUAUGAUCAUGAACUCUGGAUCAGCAGUUCCUCCUCGGGGGAAAAACCAUAGUAUCUGUUUGGCAAGCUUGAGGUCAGACUUGAGGAUGUGCACACAGCACGUCAUGAGUCCUCCAGGGACGGCACCGUCCACCUGGGCUCACUGAGCAAGAGAUGGAAUGGUACAAUUAUCCAUCUGAAGGCAGGGUCCCUCUCCAUCCCUAAAUUCUGGCUAAACACUUUUAACUCAAUACCUACUUCUGCUCUUUUUAUUCUAAAAGGAUUGUGAGCCAGGGGAGAAGUAAAUUUACCCAGCAGAUACUAGGAGUCCGUUAGAUGAAAUGUCAAUUAUUUGAUAAACCCCUUGAAUGAAUCUGAGGGCUGCCCUCUGCACUCACCAGCAAGCUCCCUGAGGACUGGGUAACCCCUGUACCAGGCCCCGAGGAAUCCGGGCUCCAGGCCUCGGUGUUGGGGGAACGGCCUCGCCAGCAGGUAUCAACACGGAGGAGCAGAGAUAUUUCCAUGGCGCGUCAGAGGAUUUUUUUUUUUUUUGCAGGAAAUAAAUCUUCAGAAGUGAGAAUUCUAAUUGAGCCGAGUUCAGGAUAGCCAAGUGUAAUUUUAGCAACAAAAGUAGAGGGUUCCAGAAAAAGCAUCUCAGGAACAGUCAAAUUAAGCUGCAGGGAGAUAAUUGGAUGGAAGGUUUGGUUAGGCAGCGCUUUGAGUGUUGAAGGGAAAAAAGAAUCUUUGGGCAGGAGGAAGUGAUGUCUUCUAUUGUAAGGAUGGGAAGGGAUACGGAAGAGGCACAUACUGAACGUUUGAGGCUUGGGGAACUUUUAUUCGAAGUUUUAAGAGUCUCAGCUGAAAAUUAUCUGUGAAAAUGUGAUCCACUUAAACCUGCCUAGUGACAAGGUCUGCAUCUUAAAAGUUCUCAUUUUGACAUAACUAUUCCUGCUCCCAGCUCAGAUCCCAGAACUUGCCUAAGGGACAGGACCCCCUCCUUCCCUGCUGAGCAAACUCCCUCCUCCCAACAGCCGUGACCCAGGGCCCUGCCAUUUGUCCUCAGUCACCUGGAUGGCCCUAGGGAGGCCUUGAACUGACCAGAAUGACUCCAUCCCUUCACCUCAUCCCCCCGUACCCAACAAAGUGCCUGACAUGCAGUAAACUCUCAAGAACAUUUAAUAAAUAAGGGGCAUCAUUCUCAUCACAAUAAUAUAAUAAAUAAUAAUAAAUAAUAAUUUUGUAUUAAUCAGGUUUUUGUCCAAGGAAUUCGAAGAGACAUUUUAUUUCUCUUUACCUAGUUCUGCUGUUCUUAUUUUAAGGUGGGUGGGGUUGGAGGAAGAAGAAAAUGUACGUACACAGACUGUAAGUCCAUUUGGUAAAAUGCCUACUAUUGAAUAAACUCCUUGGAAGCAAGCUGGCGUUCUGAACCCAAGGGUUUCGAUGUUCUAUCUAGAGUCAUGUCAACUAAACAAAUGCUUGAUCCAUGGUACAUUCGCUUCCUAGGGCUGCCAUUAAAACUUACCACGACCUGCGUAGUUCCAGAAGCCAGAAGUCCAAAAUCCAGGUGGCAGCACGUUGGUUCCAUCCAGACACUCUGAGAGGCUGUGUUCCGGGCCUCUCUCCCAGCUUUCUGUGGUAGCCAGCACUCCGUGGCACUCCUUGGCUUGUAGAUGGUGUCCUCUUCCAUCUCCAUGUGACCUCUGGUGUCCUCUUCCAUCUCCAUGUGACCUCCUUUUCUUUCUGUGUCUUCUCCCUUCUCCUCUUCUGUCUCUCAUAAGGAUGCUUGUCACUGGAUUCAGGGCCCAUUUGGAUAAUCCAGGAUGACCUCACCUCAAGAUCUUUAAUUUCUUAGCAUCUGCAUGGACCCCUUUCCAAAUAGGGCCAUAUUUACAGGAGGAGCAGGUGGACAGAUUUUGGGGCUCCACCAUUCAACCCAAACCCAUGGCUGAAUUGCUCACCAGCUAAACCAUGAUUCAACAAGACAAUCAGAAGGAGGGUCCAGGGGAGCCUCAUGUCACAGCUCCACACUCAUUGUUGAGACGACAGCCCUCAGGGACUAGAAAGCCUGCAUUAUGGCAUUUGACAGAGACAUAGGAUUUCAUUAUUUCAAGCUCCCUGGAGUAGAUCCAACAAGGCCCAGAGACCGCUCCUCCUGACGUGUGACAUGUCAUGGUUCAUGGUGUCUUUCCAUGCUGAGAGGGGGUGUCACCACAGCUGCAGAGGAAACCUUUGCCCGUGGACCACAGGGAAGUGCCAGAGGAUGUUAUCUGCCCUGCGAUUCCCCCAGUGAAGCAUCACUGUUGAGAAGUUUUCAGAACUGACUGUGAAGCAAGGAUUCACUUUUCUUACCAUACUGGUGUGUUUCUCCUAGUGUACAGGAAGGACGUGUUACUGGCUGAAUUUGCUUUUUCCAGUAAGAUGCUUAGUGCUGGCCGGGUGUGGUGGCUCAUGCCUGUAAUCCCAGCACUUUGGGAGGCCGAGGCAGGUGAUCACCUGAGGUCAGGAGUUUGAGACCAGCCUGGACAACAUGGUGUCAGCACAUUGGUUCCAUCCAGUCUCUACUAAAAAUACAAACUACAAAAAUACAAAAAUUAGCUGGGCAUGGUAGCACACGCCUGUAGUCCCAACUACUCGGGAGGCUGAGGCAGGAGAAUCGCUUGAACCCAGAAGGCGGAGGUUGCAGUGAGCCAAGAUCGUGCCACUGCACUCCAGCCUGGGUGACAGAGUGAGACUCCGUCUCAAAAAAAAAAGAAAAAAAAAAAAUGCAGCUCAGUGCUGUAUGUGAGUCUCCCAUUUGAUGCCGAUCCAGGAUCCAAGUCCUAAAUAUUUUCUUUCCCAUCUUCCCAUGGUCUGACCUCUAAUUCUGACAUUUUUCCAGAUCCUAACACAUGAUUAUUUUGUUAUACUUUUUCUUCUAAAUGAUUUCAGGUAUUCUUGUGGAAUGAAUGAAAGGUUGGCUGGAUGGAUCAGUGCAGGAUUAUGUGGAUAGAUGGAUGGGUGAAGGAUUAUGGUGGAUAGAUGGUUGAGUGGCUUAUGGUUGGGUAGAUGGGUGGAUGAUGGAUGUACAGAUAUAAGGGUUGAUAUGGGUGAAUGGAUUAGUGGAUGAGUGGGUAGGUGGGUGAAUGAACAGAUAGGUAAAUGGAUGUAGAGAUGGAUAGAUGGAUGGGUGGGUUAGUGGAUGGGUGAACAGAUUGGUGGGUGAGUAGGUAGGUGGAUGAAUGAGUGGAUGGGUGAACGGAUGUAGAGAUGGAUAGAUGGAUGGGUGGGUUAGUGGAUGGGUGAAUGGAUUGGUGGAUGAGUGGGUAGGUGGGUGAAGGAGUGGAUGGGUACAUGGAUGUAUAGAUGGAGAGAUGGAUGGGUGGGUUAGUAGAUGAGUAAAUGUGUAGAAGGAGGGGUGAGUGAUGGAAGGAGUAAAGUGGUGGUAAGGUAGAUGGCUGGAUAUUUGGAUGUUUGGAUAGUUGGGUGGAUGGCUAGUUUCCAGAAAGAGGGUACUUUAAAACCAUAUGGACAUCUGAUUCCAUUUUAAUGACUAUAAAUAUUUAAAAUAGAAUUAUAACUGUUGGUCAAGAUUUAUCAAACUGUUCAACUUACCAUAAUUCUUUGAUUUUUUUACAUAAUUCAAAUACGUCAUUUUAUUUUCAUUUUUGUUUUACCGACAUUAAUUUUGUGGGAAUCAAUUACUUUGGUUUGAAUUUUACAAGUAUUCAACAACAAUCGGUGUGGUCAUACAAAUCUUCUGCGAUUAUACCAAUGAUAAACACUGUACAUUUUCUUUUUAGGUGCAUUCUUUCUACACAGUUUAAAAUUUCCAAGUUAAAUUUUGCAUAUUUAAAGUUUUCAAAAAUGAUAAGAAUACAUUUUACUGUGUGAAGCUUAUUGCCUGACACAUUUAUUUUGUGUUACUUCUACCAGCAAUAUCAUCAUAAAAUAAAUGAAAUAUGCC
rnacentral:lncRNA from 10 species